CCUACGGGGUGCUGCAGUAGGGAAUCUUCCACAAUGGGCGAAAGCCUGAUGGAGCAACGCCGCGUGGGUGAAGAAGGUCUUCGGAUCGUAAAACCCUGUUGUUAGAGAAGAAAGUGCGUGAGAGUAACUGUUCACGUUUCGACGGUAUCUAACCAGAAAGCCACGGCUAACUACGUGCCAGCAGCCGCGGUAAUACGUAGGUGGCAAGCGUUAUCCGGAUUUAUUGGGCGUAAAGGGAACGCAGGCGGUCUUUUAAGUCUGAUGUGAAAGCCUUCGGCUUAACCGGAGUAGUGCAUUGGAAUCUGGGAGACGUGAGUGCAGAAGAGGAGAGUGGAACUCCAUGUGUAGCGGUGAAAUGCGUAGAUAUAUGGAAGAACACCAGUGGCGAAAGCGGCUCUCUGGUCUGUAACUGACGCUGAGGUUCGAAAGCGUGGGUAGCAAACAGGAUUAGAUACCCCAGUAGUC
rnacentral:rRNA from 1 species